AGGGGGAGAAUGAUGCUAGGUGUUGGAGGGUUUCCGCCCUUCAGUGCCGCAGCUAACGCAUUAAGCAUUCCGCCUGGGGAGUACGACCGCAAGGUUGAAACUCAAAGGAAUUGACGGGGGCCCGCACAAGCGGUGGAGCAUGUGGUUUAAUUCGAAGCAACGCGAAGAACCUUACCAGGUCUUGACAUCUUUUGAUCACCUGAGAGAUCAGGUUUCCCCUUCGGGGGCAAAAUGACAGGUGGUGCAUGGUUGUCGUCAGCUCGUGUCGUGAGAUGUUGGGUUAAGUCCCGCAACGAGCGCAACCCUUAUGACUAGUUGCCAGCAUUUAGUUGGGCACUCUAGUAAGACUGCCGGUGACAAACCGGAGGAAGGUGGGGAUGACGUCAAAUCAUCAUGCCCCUUAUGACCUGGGCUACACACGUGCUACAAUGGAUGGUACAACGAGUUGCGAGACCGCGAGGUCAAGCUAAUCUCUUAAAGCCAUUCUCAGUUCGGACUGUAGGCUGCAACUCGCCUACACGAAGUCGGAAUCGCUAGUAAUCGCGGAUCAGCACGCCGCGGUGAAUACGUUCCCGGGCCUUGUACACACCGCCCGUCACACCAUGAGAGUUUGUAACACCCGAAGCCGGUGGCGUAACCCUUUUAGGGAGCGAGCCGUCUAAGGUGGGACAAAUGAUUAGGGUGAAGUCGUAACAGG
rnacentral:rRNA from 2 species